AGAGUUUGAUCCUGGCUCAGGAUAAACGCUGGCGGCGUGCCUAACACAUGCAAGUCGAACGAUCCCGCAAGGGAGAGUGGCGGAAGGGUGAGUAACACGUGGGAAUCUACCUCCUCGCAGGGAACAACCUCUCGAAAGAGAGGCUAAUACCCAAAAGGGUCAGAAAUGAUCAGAGUCGAAAGGCGUGAGGAGAGGAGCCCGCGGCCCAUCAGCUAGUUGGUGAGGUAAUGGCUUACCAAGGCUACGACGGGUAGGGGAUCUGAGAGGAUGUCCCCCACACUGGAACUGAAACACGGUCCAGACGCCUACGGGUGGCAGCAGUGAGGAAUAUUGGACAAUGGGCGAAAGCCUGAUCCAGCAACGCCGCGUGGAGGAUGAAGGCCUUCGGGUCGUAAACUUCUUUAGAGGGAGACGAGAAAGGACGGUAUCCCUAGAAUAAGCGACGGCAAACUACGUGCCAGCAGCCGCGGUAACACGUAGGUCGCGAGCGUUAUCCGGAUUUACUGGGCGUAAAGCGCUUGUAGGCGGUUCUGUAAGUCGGGCGUGAAAUCUCCGGGCUUAACUCGGAGUGGCCGUUCGAUACUGCAGGGCUUGAGGAUGCUAGAGGGUGGUGGAAUUCCAGGUGUAGUGGUGAAAUGCGUAGAUAUCUGGAGGAACAUCCGUGGCGAAGGCGGCCACCUGGGGCAUUCCUGACGCUGAGAAGCGACAGCUAGGGGAUCAAACGGGAUUAGAAACCCCGGUAGUCC
rnacentral:rRNA from 1 species